AUUGAACGCUGGCGGCAGGCUUAACACAUGCAAGUCGAGCGGAGAUGAGGUGCCUGCACCUUAUCUUAGCGGCGGACGGGUGAGUAAUGCUUAGGAAUCUGCCUAUUAGUGGGGGACAACAUUCCGAAAGGAAUGCUAAUACCGCAUACGCCCUACGGGGGAAAGCAGGGGAUCUUCGGACCUUGCGCUAAUAGAUGAGCCUAAGUCGGAUUAGCUAGUUGGUGGGGUAAAGGCCUACUAAGGCGACGAUCUGUAGCGGGUCUGAGAGGAUGAUCCGCCACACUGGGACUGGGAAACGGCCCAGACUCCUACGGGAGGCAGCAGUGGGGAAUAUUGGACAAUGGGCGGAAGCCUGAUCCAGCCAUGCCGCGUGUGUGAAGAAGGCCUUUUGGUUGUAAAGCACUUUAAGUUGGGAGGAAGGGUUGUAGAUUAAUACUCUGCAAUUUUGACGUUACCGACAGAAUAAGCACCGGCUAACUCUGUGCCAGCCGCCGCCGUAAGAC
rnacentral:rRNA from 1 species